GCAUUACUACAUCGUACUUGAGUCACCUUAAAAAUAUUAGUGUGUCGACCCACCCCCCCUUCUUUCAAAUAUGCAAUGGAACACGCCAAGGAUGUCCCCUGUCCCCAAUAAUAUUUGCCCUGUCGCUUGAAUCACUCCUACAAUCCCUGAGGUCCUCCAACACAACGAUAAAGGGAAUACAAAUCAGGAACAAAGAAUAUAAAACUGCAGCAUACGCUGAU